rnacentral:lncRNA from 1 species
GCAUGAAGCAGAGCCAGAAAAUAACAAUUAAAAAUAACUUCACCUACUUGAUUUGCUCGUGGGUACCACCUGAUGUAGCAUUAGUGAGUGCCCAUGCAGCUUCUUUUUUAAUGUCAAACUCAGCAUUUUGAAGAAGAUUGACUAGGGGAGCAAUCAAACCAGCUUCAAUGACAGCCUGCACCGUACAUAUAAGCUGUAAUGUUUGACACAGUCCAGCAAACUUCUUUCUUAAUACUUUUCUUGUGACUACUGGUCAACAGGCUCAAAAGGCAUGGGAGUGAACCAUGAUUGAUAAUAGCCUGACAAAAAGAGUCCCACCAAAUUUCAGGAAUCAGCACUGAAGGAGAUGGGUGCCUUCAAAACAUGCACAUAUAUUUAGAGCCAAAAUAAUCAAUAAUUGCAAUAGAAUAUUGGCUGACCAGGGAAUAAGAAUUGGUACUUACAGAAGGAGCUGCACCAGUCUGCCACAUACACCUGCCUCGAUCACCGCUUGGAUAUUGUCAUUUGUUCCAUCAGAAAGAUACGAGAGUGCCCACCAUGCAUCGGUUAGGACUUCUUCGUCUUUGGAAAAAACCAAAUGCUUGAGAGCGGGAAGCGCUGGCCUCAUCUGUCCAUCAAAAUUCUAGUAUUAAUACACAGAUAAAGGUCGUCUUGUAGGUUCAGUUUUAAUUUAAUAAAAACAACAAUUACCUGCUCAAGUGGGGGUUGUGGCUU